AUUGAACGCUGGCGGCAGGCCUAACACAUGCAAGUCGAACGGUAACAGGAAGAAGCUUUCUUCUUUGCUGACGAGUGGCGGACGGGUGAGUAAUGUCUGGGAAACUGCCUGAUGGAGGGGGAUAACUACUGGAAACGGUAGCUAAUACCGCAUAACGUCGCAAGACCAAAAAGGGGGACCUUCGGGCCUCUUGCCAUCGGAUGUGCCCAGAUGGGAUUAGCUAGUAGGUGGGGUAACGGCUCACCUAGGCGACGAUCCCUAGCUGGUCUGAGAGGAUGACCAGCCACACUGGAACUGAGACACGGUCCAGACUCCUACGGGAGGCAGCAGUGGGGAAUAUUGCACAAUGGGCGCAAGCCUGAUGCAGUCAUGCCGCGUGUACGAAGAAGGCCUUCGGGUUGUAAAGUACUUUCAGCGGGGAGGAAGGGAGUAAAGUUAAUACCUUUGCUCAUUGACGUUACCCGCAGAAGAAGCACCGGCUAACUCCGUG
rnacentral:rRNA from 1 species